GUAGCCUUGCAGUCGAUCUCCAGUAAAAUUUUCAAUCCAAGAUGUAUUCCCUCUUAAAUGGCUCUUGACAGAGCUGUCCUCUUUCUCCAUUGUUACACAUUAAUGGCUGAUGUAUUCUUUCUCCAGAGAUAUAUUUUUGUGUUGCUGAGCGUUGUGUUCCUUUUUCAGAAAUAUAUCAUCCUAUUACAGACAGCUACGUCCCUCCUCCAGUUCUUAAAAC